CUUGUCGCCGCUUCUCUCCGGUGCCCAACCAACCGGAAGCGCGCAUUGAUUUCUCCAUGGCGAGUGCAGGCUGCUUCAAAGAAGAAGAGGGGGAAUCAGGAAAAGACAACAAAUAAGUCAAUGACAUUUUAUUCAGCUCUUAACAAACCACCAGCGCGAUCAUCGACACGGUUUUAACGCUCGAUCCUGAAACUGAGGAUUAUUCCUUCCGGAUAUGGGAUCUACCUUCCAGGUCCCCACCUGCUGGGCACCAUGAUGGUGCAGAUUAUUUAAGCUCCUGGAGCCGCAGCGGAAGGACCCCACUGUUGGAGGACCCCAGGCUGGAGCUGCGCCGCUCCCCCCGGCUCGUGUGCGUGUUUACGCGGAUCUUCUCUCUGGUUUUGCCCCUGGGAGUCCUGGAGGUGGAGGUGGUUGUGCGGGAAACAAGCUCUCGUUGUCGCCCGGAGAAAAGCGACAAGUGUCGGUGUGUGGGCUCCUGGAGACGUGAUCGACAUGGCGACAGCAGCUGCUCUUUUUUGAAUCCGCCGACAAUUAAGCUCCCUGCCCCAGCUGAGCCCCUCGCUGCCCUCUGAAGAAGCAGGAUGACAAGAUGGCACAGCUGCUUGUACCGCCCGGACCUGACAGCUUCCUCCCCUUCGUCCCCGAGUCGCUGGCCGCCAUCGAGAGGCGCAUCGCCGAGGAGGAGGCCCGGAAACCACGGGCGGAGCGCCGCAGCGACAGCGAUGAUGAAAAUGGGCCAAAGCCCAACAGUGACCUGGAGGCGGGGAAAUCUCUCCCCUUCAUAUAUGGGGACACCCCUUCCAGCCUGGUGUCCACCCCUCUGGAGGACCUGGAUCCCUACUACAGCAAU